rnacentral:ncRNA from 1 species
CCAGAAGAGGCGCUCUUCUUAGGUAUCCCGAUUAGCUAACAUGCUUAACAUGCAGUCGGGAGAGGGAAUGAAGAGCCGAGGCAAUCUGAAACAGCAUUAAUCCGAUUGUCGGCUAUGGAGGCUGAAUCCUUCAGGCUGUCACACUUAAGGUGAAGUGCUUCUGG